GCUUCGAUCAAGAAAAAAAAUUAAUACCAAAGAGGACUAUUCCAAACUGAUCCUGAGUGGAUACCCAUAGAGGUCGGAUAGUUGUACGACUAAGAAAGAACCUACUCUCUUCUAGAUCUAGAUUUGAAGAAAGAAUUUGCAAGACAGAUAUAUGAUUCAAUCACAUAUUCAAUUUCAACAUAAAAUUUAGUAUGUGUUCAAUUUCAGCAUAUG
rnacentral:lncRNA from 1 species